CAGAUUAGAGCCCUCGAAAGUUCAAUCGCAACCUUCCUGCACCUUUCUCCUUCUAUCUCUCUUUCCCUCUCUAUCAAUUUUCAGUUUCCCGUAGACAUAUGGUUCCCCUCUUCCUCUCUAGCAUCCAGAUCUGAAUUUAUACAAUCAUGGACACACUUUAAAGACCCUUUCGAUGCAAUGGCAGACUUCAAGGAAAAGCGAUGGUGCUUCUACUUCAGUGGAUUAGAGUGAAUGGGCAUCUCAGUUGGAGUAGAGAAAUGGGUCUUACUGGAAGGCAAAAUGAAACGACCCGUCAAAAUUGGAUCUUGAACAUCUAUCACUUUUUAGGAGUUUGUGUGAAUUUUGGGUUUUUUUUCCUGGUUUUAUUCUAUGUGGUUUUGUCUGUAUGAUUGGAAAGUUCAAUUUCUGAUGUACUUUCGGGGGGGUUUGACUGUAGCAGCAGGGAAGUGGGGAAGUGGGUGGCUUUCCGGUGGCACCGCCGGCUCAGUAUAACCCAUUAGACGAGCCGAGUCCAUUGGGAUUGAGGCUGAGGAAAAGUCCUUCCCUUUUGGAAUUGAUCCAAAUGAGGCUUUCUCAAGCUAAUUCACCUAAGGGUGCAAGUUCCAGUAAAAAAGAGCUUAAAGGGGCCGCUGCUUCUGGUUCCUCUGAGAAGCUCAAGGCUUCAAAUUUUCCAGCAACUAUUCUGCGAAUUGGGACCUGGGAGUAUAAGUCAAGAUAUGAAGGGGAUUUGGUAGCAAAGUGUUAUUUUGCAAAGCAUAAGCUUGUAUGGGAGGUUCUUGAUGGCGGGCUCAAGAAUAAGAUUGAAAUUCAAUGGUCUGAUAUAAUGGCUUUGAAGG